UGCCUGCUGUAGCUGGCUGCGCGCGCCCAGAAGCUUUUGCUCCUUCUUGGUUGCAGGAAGGUCCCGACUCUAAAAUACGACUUGCCGCCGUUCGUCUCGUUGACUCUGUCCCCAGCGUCCUCCGGCCUCACAGACCUGGUGAUUCCAGCGCUUCCCGGAUUGAUAUGAAACAGGACUCGAGAUAACCCUGUGGCAAGACAGAGAGAGAUUGUGCAGUCCUUGUAGAUUCAUCACCUGCUUUGAAGUGGUCUUGGCAUCACAGAGAGGACCGUUCAGGCAAAUUUCACCAUCAGCCUCACAUUGGCAGCCAUUGAUUUGUCCCGUGGUUGUGGUCCUUCUGGGGACCUGAUCUACCUUCACCAAGAAAAGAUACCAGGAGCAAGGAUGCUUGCUGACUCUUUGAUACAUUGUAAACAGGACCCAGUGACUUUUGAGGAUGUAGCUGUGGACUUUACCCAAAAAGAGUGGAUUUUAUUGGAUCAAACUCAGAGAAACCUAUACAGAGAUGUGAUGCUGGAGAACUACAAGAACCUGGCUUCAGUAGGAUACCAGCUGUUCAAACCCAGGCUGAUCUCUUGGCUGGAGGAAGAAGAUUUGAGGACAUUGCAGAGAAGAGUUCUCCAAAAGUGGCGACUUAAAACCAAAAGGUCAGCACAUCAGCAGGAUGUUUGUUGGUUAAAAACAUCAAAUGGGAUACAAAUGGCUGUAAGCUGCAAUGGACCACAACCCUGGGACGGUAAGCAACGUGGAGAAAUCUCUGGUGAACACUCGUGCCUUAAGACACACAUGAGAACUCAGAAUUCAAGGGACACUUCUAACUGUAAUCACCAUGGAAAAGCCGUUUUUAUUUUGCACAAGAACAUCUCUGCUGGAGAGAAACUUUCUGUAUUGAAUCAGUGUGAAACAGCCUGUAGCCUGAUUCCAAAUGUUGCUUCCCAGAGCACAUGCGUGAGAGGCGAAUCCUUUGAAUCCAGUGACUGUGGGAAAGUGAUCCUUAAUCAGUCACACCUUCAGGCAAAUAAGACAACUCACAAUGGAGAAAAACUCUACGAAUGGAAGGCGUGUGGGAGAGCUGUCACUGACCCCACAAGCCAUCCUGCGUCUGUUCAAAAGCACACUGUAAAACAACCCUACAAAUGUAAGGAAUGUGGAAAAACCUUUAGGUAUGUUUACCAUCUUAAUUGCCACAUGGAAACCCACACUGGGGAGAAACCCUAUAAAUGUGAGGAAUGUGGAAAAGCCUUCACUGAGCACUCAGGACUUACUAAUCACAAACAAAAACACACUGGAGAGAAGCCCUAUGAAUGUAAGGAAUGUGGGAGAGGCUUUACUAGGUUUUCCCAACUAGGUCAACAUUUAAAUACUCACACUGGAGAGAAGCCCUAUAAAUGUAAGGACUGUGAGAAAUCCUUUACUAGAGCCUCACAUCUUAAUUCUCAUAUAAAAACUCACACUGGAGAGAGCGACAAACUCUAUAAAUGUAAGGACUGUGAGAGAACCUUCACUGGGCGCUCUAGACUUACUGAUCAUGAACGAACACACACUGGAGAGAAGCCCUAUAAAUGUAAGCAAUGUGGGAAAGCCUUCAGUCGGUACUCAGGCCUUAAUAACCAUGUAGUAAUACACACUGGAGAGAAGCCCCACGAAUGUAAGGAAUGUGGGAAAGGCUUUACUAGGUUUUACCGACUAAGAGAACAUUUAAAUACUCACACAGGGGAGAAGCCCUUUGGAUGCAAGGUAUGUGGAAAAUCCUUUAGUCAUUCCUCCAACCUUCAAAUUCACUGUCGAAGUCACACUGGAAUAAAACCCUACAAAUGUAAGCACUGUGGCAAAGCCUUCACUGGGCAUUCCAACCUUACUAAACAUGUAAGAACUCACACUGGGGAGAAGCCCUAUAAAUGUAAGGACUGUGGGAAAUCCUUUGCUAGAGCCUCACAUCUUAAUUCUCAUAUGAAAACUCACACUGGAGAGAAACCUUUUAAGUGUAAGGACUGUGGGAAAACCUUCACUUGGGCUGUUGCCCUUUCUAAACACGUACGAACUCACACUGGAGAGAAGCCCUACGUAUGUAAGGAAUGUGGGAGACCCUUCGCUGCUUUGUCACACCGUACUGCACAUAUGAGAACUCACACUGGAGAGAAACCCUAUGAAUGUAAACAAUGUGGAAAAGCCUUUUCUCAGAAAUCAGCUCUUAAUCAACACAUAAGAAUACAUACUGGAGAGAAGCCUUAUGACUGUAAGGAAUGUGGAAAAGCCUUCAGGUAUGCCCAUUUACUUCAAAGACAUAAAACAACACACUCUGACAAUGCCCCAUGAAUUUAAGGAAUGUGAGAGAGCCAAUGGAAUCUGAUCACAAUCCAGCUUGUAAAAACUCACCCUGAAGCCAUAUAAGGAAGAAGCACAGAAAGUCUUCACCAUUUCCAUGGAUCUUACUGAAUUUGUGAGAUCUUGCAAUGGAGAGAAACCCUAUUGAUUGAAUAUAUGUGGAAAAUUUGUAAUUCUGCUAAAUACUUUGUUUACUUAUCUCACAGAGGAGAAAACCUUUAUGAAGGAAAUAGUUAAGAGCUCCUGUCCCUGUGCUAGGCACUGAGCAGAGCAGCAAAGUACAUGGAAAGUGUCCUCUGCCUUAAAGAUCCAACAUUCCUGUGGAAGAAGAUAAGCAAUGAACUUCAUAGUUCAGAAGUGCUAUGGAGGGGCUGGCCCGUUGGCUCGGUUGGUUAGAGCAUGGUGCUGACAACGCAAAGGUCCAAGGUUUGAUCCCUGUACCAGCCAGCUGCCCAAAAAAGCAGGGGACUAUGGAGAAAAAUCAAGCAGGUGGGAAAGUAGAGUGUUCUACAUACAUACACCUGUGCACACUAUGACAGCACAAAUAUUCUGAAUUGGUUCUUGGACAUGAUGAUGCCAGAAAAGGAGAAUAACCAUUGGCUAUUCCACCUUUGA